rnacentral:rRNA from 1 species
CGGUGAAAUUAUAGUACCUGUGAAGAUGCAGGUUACCCGCGACAGGACGGAAAGACCCCGUGGAGCUUUACUGUAGCCUGAUAUUGAAUUUUGGUACAUUUUGUACAGGAUAGGCGGGAGCCAUUGAAACCGGAGCGCUAGCUUCGGUGGAGGCGCUGGUGGGAUACCGCCCUGAAUGUAUUGAAAUUCUAACCUACGGGUCUUAUCGACCCGGGAGACAGUGUCAGGUGGGCAGUUUGACUGGGGCGGUCGCCUCCUAAAGUGUAACGGAGGC